rnacentral:rRNA from 1 species
UGAGGAAUUUUGGUCAAUGGACGGAAGUCUGAACCAGCCAAGUCGCGUGAAGGAAGGCGGCCCUAAGGGUUGUAAACUUCUUUUGUAAGGGAAUAAAGUGCGUUACGUGUAGUGCAUUGCAAGUACCUUACGAAUAAGGAUCGGCUAACUCCGUGCCAGCAGCCGCGGUAAUACGGAGGAUCCGAGCGUUAUCCGGAUUUAUUGGGUUUAAAGGGUGCGCAGGCGGGGGAUUAGGUCGGCGGUGAAAUAUCAGGGCUCAACCUUGAGAGUGCCGUCGAAACCGGUUUUCUUGAGUGCGGAUGAAGUAGGCGGAAUUUGUGGUGUAGCGGUGAAAUGCGUAGAUAUCACAAAGAACACCGAUUGCGGAGGCAGCUUACUAAACCGCAACUGACGCUCAUGCACGAAGGCGUGGGGAUCAAACAGG